UUAAUUGAAGAGUUUGAUCAUGGCUCAGAUUGAACGCUGGCGGCAGGCCUAACACAUGCAAGUCGAGCGGCAGCACAGAGGAACUUGUUCCUUGGGUGGCGAGCGGCGGACGGGUGAGUAAUGCCUGGGAAAUUGCC
rnacentral:rRNA from 1 species